rnacentral:rRNA from 1 species
GUCACACUAUCAUUAACUGAAUCCAUAGGUUAAUGAGGCGAACCGGGGGAACUGAAACAUCUAAGUACCCCGAGGAAAAGAAAUCAACCGAGAUUCCCCCAGUAGCGGCGAGCGAACGGGGAGGAGCCCAGAGCCUGAAUCAGCAUGUGUGUUAGUGGAAGCGUCUGGAAAGGCGCGCGAUACAGGGUGACAGCCCCGUACACAAAAGCGCAUGUGCUGUGAGCUCGAUGAGUAGGGCGGGACACGUGGUAUCCUGUCUGAAUAUGGGGGGACCAUCCUCCAAGGCUAAAUACUCCUGACUGACCGAUAGUGAACCAGUACCGUGAGGGAAAGGCGAAAAGAACCCCGGCGAGGGGAGUGAAAAAGAACCUGAAACCGUGUACGUACAAGCAGUGGGAGCCCCACCACCAAAGCAUUCUCUGGUGUUGAAGGCCCUGCAAAGCAGCAUCGCGGUGGCGGAGCGUCGUUUGCGACGCCCGACACACAAAACAAGCGGUGAGUGCUUUGGGGUGGGGUGACUGCGUACCUUUUGUAUAAUGGGUCAGCGACUUAUAUUCUGUAGCAAGGUUAACCGUAUAGGGGAGCCGGAGGGAAACCGAGUCUUAAUUGGGCGUUAAGUUGCAGGGUAUAGACCCGAAACCCGGUGAUCUAGCCAUGGGCAGGUUGAAGGUUGGGUAACACUAACUGGAGGACCGAACCGACUAAUGUUGAAAAAUUAGCGGAUGACCUGUGGCUGGGGGUGAAAGGCCAAUCAAACCGGGAGAUAGCUGGUUCUCCCCGAAAGCUAUUUAGGUAGCGCCUCGUGAAUUCAUCUCCGGGGGUAGAGCACUGUUUCGGCUAGGGGGUCAUCCCGACUUACCAACCCGAUGCAAACUGCGAAUACCGGAGAAUGUUAUCACGGGAGACACACGGCGGGUGCUAACGUCCGUCGUGAAGAGGGAAACAACCCAGACCGCCAGCUAAGGUCCCAAAGUCAUGGUUAAGUGGGAAACGAUGUGGGAAGGCCCAGACAGCCAGGAUGUUGGCUUAGAAGCAGCCAUCAUUUAAAGAAAGCGUAAUAGCUCACUGGUCGAGUCGGCCUGCGCGGAAGAUGUAACGGGGCUAAACCAUGCACCGAAGCUGCGGCAGCGACACUGUGUGUUGUUGGGUAGGGGAGCGUUCUGUAAGCCUGUGAAGGUGGCCUGUGAGGGUUGCUGGAGGUAUCAGAAGUGCGAAUGCUGACAUAAGUAACGAUAAAGCGGGUGAAAAGCCCGCUCGCCGGAAGACCAAGGGUUCCUGUCCAACGUUAAUCGGGGCAGGGUGAGUCGACCCCUAAGGCGAGGCCGAAAGGCGUAGUCGAUGGGAAACGGGUUAAUAUUCCCGUACUUGGUGUUACUGCGAAGGGGGGACGGAGAAGGCUAUGUUGGCCGGGCGACGGUUGUCCCGGUUUAAGCGUGUAGGUGUGUGUUCCAGGUAAAUCCGGUUCACUUUAACACUGAGGCGUGACGACGAGGCACUACGGUGCUGAAGCAACAAAUGCCCUGCUUCCAGGAAAAGCCUCUAAGCAUCAGGUAACAUCAAAUCGUACCCCAAACCGACACAGGUGGUCAGGUAGAGAAUACCAAGGCGCUUGAGAGAACUCGGGUGAAGGAACUAGGCAAAAUGGUGCCGUAACUUCGGGAGAAGGCACGCUGACACGUAGGUGAAGUGAUUUACUCA